rnacentral:rRNA from 1 species
AUACGUAGGGAGCAAGCGUUGUCCGGAAUUACUGGGCGUAAAGGGCGCGUAGGCGGGUAUUUAAGUCAGGUGUGAAAACUCCGAGCUCAACUUGGGGAUUGCACUUGAAACUGGGGAUCUUGAGGGCAGGAGAGGAAAGUGGAAUUUCUAGUGUAGCGGUGAAAUGCGUAGAUAUUUGGAGGAACACCAGUGGCGAAGGCGGCUUUCUGGACUGCAACUGACGUUGAGGCGCGAAAGCGUGGGGAGCGAACAGGAUUAGAUACCCUGGUAGUCCACGCUGUAAACGAUGGAUGCUAGGUGUGGGGGGUAUCGACCCCCUCCGUGCCGGAGUUAACACAAUAAGUAUUCCGCCUGGGGAGUACGGCCGCAAGGUUGAAACUCAAAGGAAUUGACGGGG